GCUGGGCAUGGUGGUGCGUGCCUGUAAUCCCAGCUACUUGGGAGGCUGAGGCAGGAGAAUCGCUUGAACCUGGGAGGCAGAGGUUGCAGUGAGCUGAGAUUGCGCCAUUGUACUCCAGCCUGAGUGACAGAGUGAGACCCUGUCUCAA
rnacentral:SRP_RNA from 1 species